GUGCUCUCUUUGGCAGCACAUAUACUACAAUUGGAACAAUACAGAGAAGAUUAGCAUGUCCCCUGCACGAGGAUGACAUACAAAUUUGUGAAGCAUUCCAUAUAUUU